rnacentral:rRNA from 1 species
GUGGGGAAUCUUGCGCAAUGGGCGAAAGCCUGACGCAGCCAUGCCGCGUGAAUGAUGAAGGUCUUAGGAUUGUAAAAUUCUUUCACCGGGGACGAUAAUGAUGGUACCCGGAGAAGAAGCCCCGGCUAACUUCGUGCCAGCAGCCGCGGUAAUACGAAGGGGGCUAGCGUUGCUCGGAAUUACUGGGCGUAAAGGGCGCGUAGGCGGACAGUUUAGUCAGAGGUGAAAGCCCAGGGCUCAACCUUGGAAUUGCCUUUGAUACUGGCUGUCUUGAGUACGGGAGAGGUGAGUGGAACUCCGAGUGUAGAGGUGAAAUUCGUAGAUAUUCGGAAGAACACCAGUGGCGAAGGCGACUCACUGGCCCGUUACUGACGCUGAGGCGCGAAAGCGUGGGGAGCAAACAGGAUUAGAAACCCUUGUAGUCC